rnacentral:rRNA from 1 species
UACGAGGGGGGCGAGCGUUGUUCGGAAUUAUUGGGCGUAAAGGGUGCGUAGGCGGUUUGGUAAGUCUUAUGUGAAAUCUACAGGCUCAACUUGUAGUCUGCAUGAGAAACUGCCGUGCUGGAGUGUGGGAGAGGUGCGUGGAAUUCCUGGUGUAGCGGUGAAAUGCGUAGAUAUCAGGAGGAACACCUGUGGCGAAAGCGGCGCACUGGACCACAACUGACGCUGAGGCGCGAAAGCUAGGGGAGCAAACAGG